AAUAUUUUUGCUAAUUAUUUAGGUUAAAUUUGUUAUUUCAGAAUCCAAUUUCUGCUCCAUUGAUUCUCUUGAUCUCGCUCCACUUGUUUGGCAAGUUUGUUUGUCCCGACGAUGUUAUACUUCAGAUCACAGAGGUGAAAUUCAUUUGUAUAGAAAUCAAUUACAUAAAGUGUUACAUGAUAUUGAGGGAAAUGUGUCAUUCACCCAAGGUGCAUUAGUCUAAUACCAAGGUUCAAAAUAAUUACGAAUAAUUAAUUUAGUAAGAUCAAGUGAUCGGAACAGCUAGCACUACUACAAAAGGCGUGGAAUCUCGACGAUAUUGCCUCGACGCCGCGGGUAACCGCUGGAGUGAAAUUUUAGGUUCCGUGGUUUGUCGACGGUUUUCCGCGUCUAAAGCAUCCCUCGACUUGUAAAACCGUCGAGAAAUAAGUAAAAACUCACAUGAUCUGCACGUGGUCUCUUCUGUACUGCCCGCGACAUCAAGGAAAAACAAAAUCCGCCGCUCGCACUAAUCUUUUCAUUCUCAAACCUAACUCGCCUCCUUCAAUGAAUCACUGUACAGUAUUGCAGGAAACUUCCCUUUAUCCCAGAUCUACUCUCAAAUCUUAAUGGAGUUACAGACUCUUACACCUUCUCAUUUGUUUUCCCUUCCGGUUGUAAUUGUUUCUCUCUCAAAUCUCGUAUUUUUUUAACUUUACUUUUCUCUUAACUUGGAGGUAUUAUCCGACCAUAUCAAUGGAAUUUGCAUCUUCUUCCAUCUGAUUUUAGGCAAGUCUUGCUCAAGCGAUUACUGCCAAUUUUGCCGAUGAACCCAAAACAGCUAGUGCUUCUCUUGCUAAGGCUGCCAAGCAUUUUGAUGCCUUGGUCAAUGCCCUGCCACUAGUUGAGGGAGGUGAAGAGGAUCAACUGAAAAGAAUCGUUGAUCUUCAGGUAUCGUAGUAGCUGAUUUUCUGUGAAAUGCUCAAGAAAUAUAGAGCCUGGUAAAGCGGUUUUUCUUGUGUACUUACCCGGCAGAAAAUGAUGCUGUUGGACAAGAAUGGCUGAAGCAACGGGAAGCUGCAGGAUUUAAGAUUCUAGCAUUCUUGCUCAAUCAAUUUGGAGGCAAAGUACCUGGAUCAAUUCCCGAGAUUAAGAAUUUUGUGUGUACAAGAUUCAAAGCUGAAUACCCCAUUUUUUAUAAGGUUCGUUAGUGAAAUCACCAACUUAAAAUAGUUAGAGAACCAUACUUGCCUAGUUACUGACACCAUGACCGCUACUGCUACUGACUGCAACAACUGGACAUGAAUGGUCCAAAUACAGACAUAGUUUACAGUUCCUCAAGUUCAGUGAUGGGGGGUUUUUGGUGACUUGGUCUACUGGAAUUACGAGAAGUUUUUGGUGGACAAAGAGGGCAAGGUUGUAGAGUGAUACACACCUACAACAUCCCCUCUCGGGAUGAAGGUAUGAUCCCGAAUUCUUUCAUUUCAGUUUCUGUUUAACUUUAUAAAACUGAACUUUACGAAACAUAACAGAAUAGAACAUGUCAUUUGAGUAGUGUUCAUGAAUUAUCUUGUUCAACAGUCAAAAGAGUAAGCCUGAUGUAGAGGAAAAAGAACUAGUCAAAACAAUCUAGGACCCUGAUGUUUACAUUUAAUUUUCUACCCUGAUAUUAAAUUCAGGUUGUACAGCAACAUAUGGCUCCUUUAUCUAUAAUGUCUAAACAGGAAACCGCAGACACCAAAACCCUAAAAAAGAAAAAGAAAAACGAACACUUCUCGUCGAUAAGUUGCUCGAUCUUAGUCUGGUACCUUCGAAAUUCUCAUGGUACCUUCAACCCUCCAUUGAAAUCGAAAUUCUCACAGUACUCUCUGAAUUGCGGAAGAUUACAAGCUUUCUCACUUUCACCAGGAACAAACGAACAGAAGAAUCUAGUGAAGAGAAAACUGCUUGUGUCAGAGAGAAGACUUGUAGGCUUGUGUUCGGAAAAUACCAAGCUUUCUUAAAUAAGGAUCACUCCAUCAACAUCAGAAGUUCACUCAAUUUACUAUCAAAAGGCAAAGCUACUAAGAUGGUAUUUCUGCAACAAUUUUAACUAGAACAGUAGGUCCGUGAUGCGUUUGGAGAUUAUGGUGGUUGAAGAAAGGAAUCAAAGCUCCUUCAACAUUGAAGCCCAUCUUCUUGAAUUUAUAGGCUUUGAAUUGCCUUUCUUUUGAAGAUGAUAUUUUAGAAUAAUAGGUCAAUUGGAGUUGUAAUAUACAUUGAAGACGUUAUGCGCUUGUGUUUUGGUAUACUAGGUAAAUAGUUUGGAUCAUAUGUAAACUUUGAUGAUAUGUUUAUGACGUAUUAUUAUAUAAUUUAAUAUAAGUAUAUAUAUCUUUAAGUUA